rnacentral:rRNA from 1 species
CCUACGGGAGGCAGCAGUGAGGAAUAUUGCUCAAUGGGCGCGAGCCUGAACCAGCCAAGUCGCGUGAAGGAUGACUGCCCUACGGGUUGUAAACUUCUUUUAUAAAGGGAUAAAGUGAGGCACUUGUGCCUUUUUGUAUGUACUUUAUGAAUAAGGAUCGGCUAACUCCGUGCCAGCAGCCGCGGUAAUACGGAGGAUCCGAGCGUUAUCCGGAUUUAUUGGGUUUAAAGGGAGCGUAGAUGGGGUGUUAAGUCAGUUGUGAAAGUUUGGGGCUUAACCGUAAAAUUGCAAUUGAUACUGGCAGUCUUGAGUACAGUUGAGGGAGGCGGAAUUCGUGGUGUAGCGGUGAAAUGCUUAGAUAUCACGAAGAACUCCGAUUGCGAAGGCAGCUUACUAAACUGCCACUGACAUUGAUGCUCGAAAGCGUGGGGAGCAAACAGGAUUAGAUACCCCUGUAGUC